rnacentral:rRNA from 1 species
GUGUAGUCUGUGACAGGUGCGGCGUGAAGACGGCGUAUGGAAGCGGUAACCGGAAGGUUUUGGCGUAAUGCGUGCGUAGGGUGCUAGUCAAGUCUGCGGUCAAAGACUGGGGCGUAACCCUGGAAAGGCCGUGGAAACUGACGAGAUAGAGUGGAGUAGGGGUAGAGGGAAUUCCCGGUGUAGCGGUGAAAUGCGUAGAGCUCGGGAAGAACAUCGGUGGCGAAAGCGCUCUACUGGACUGCAACUGACACUCAGGGACGAAAGCUAGGGGAGCGAAUGGGAUUAGAUACCCGUGUAGUC